AGGGAUUAGCCUUCACUAACACUUGAAAGGAGUCCAGGAGGUGAACUACUCACAACCCUCUUUCUGAUUGGGAUAUGAAUCUUGGUCUUUUUUAUAUAAAAUAAUUAAUAAAAGUAUGAGCUACACUAGUUUAGUAAGAAUAUCACACUAAUAACUGAUACAAAAAACUGAAGGUUGGUAAAAAUCACAACAUAACUAAUGGAGCCCUUAAUUUAAGUAAAUACUUUUAACUCUAAAAU
rnacentral:lncRNA from 1 species